GCCUGGCUGGCUCAGUCAGUAGAGCAUGAGACUCUUGAUUUCUGGGUUCUGAGUUCGAGCCCCAUGUUGGGUG
rnacentral:tRNA from 1 species